CCAGGUGUGGCCACUAGCCUAUAUGAAGGCCCAAAAUUGUGUGUUCCUUUCUGCUCUGACAAUGGCAUGCCCAUUCGUGCGAGAUGUGGUGGAUGAAGAAGCACUUGUGCUGAGGAGAGCCUUCAGGCGAGAAAGGGUCUUCAGGGACCGGUUGGACCCACUGGCCUUCCCUGAUGACCAUCUAUAUGAAAGAUACAGGUUUUCUGCAGAUGGCAUCAGGUAUCUAUGCAGACUACUGGGUCCCAGGAUUAAGCACCGCACUGCACGGAGCCAUGCACUGAGUGUGGAGCAAAUGGUUUGUGUGGCCUUUGCGCUUUUUUGCUAGUGGAGCCUUCCUGUACUCAGUGGGGGAUGCAGAACAGCUGAACAAGGCCACAAUUUGCCGCACAAUAAGGAGUGUGUGUCUGGCUAUCAAAGCAUUAGCAGAUGUCUUCAUCUCCUUCCCUGGCCACAGAAGACUCUGUGACAUCAAAGAGGAGUUCUAUAGGAUUGCAGAUGGUCUGCAAUGCUGACUGUGUGAUCAGCAAUGUUGUGGCAAAAUGGCCUGGCUCAGUCCAUGACUCCAGAAUCUUUCGGGCCUCUGAAAUCUAUCAGUGCCUAUCACAAGGUGAAUUCUCUGGUGUGUUGCUGGGAGACAGGGGUAUGGCUGCCAGCCUUUUCUCCUGACACCUUUCACAGACCCCCAGGAAGCACAGCAGGCCUACAACCAUGCCCAUGCCAGGACCAGGGCCAGAGUUGAAAUGACCUUUGGCCUCCUGAAGGCACGCUUUCACUGCCUUCACAAAUUAAGGGUCAGCCCUGUUAGGGCAUGUGAUAUUACUGUGGCUUGUGCUGUCCUCCACAAUGUGGCCUGCCUGAGGAAGGAGAGGGCCCCCAGAGUGCCACCAGCCAUGGACUGGGACAAUCCGGCAAUCUUCCCUGAUGACGACAGUGGUCGGCUGCUGAGGGACCAAUAUGUGUUGAAUUAUUUUAGUUAGUAUGUGUGCUUUCAAUUUUGGUUAAAUAUGUCCUGCGGUGGCAGAGGAAUUUGGGUUUUUUUGGGUUUGUUUUUUGACGAAUUUGUCCUCUUAUGAUGUUUGUGCGGUAUACUGUGUGUAAUACAAGGCUGCAGGGAGGCUACUGCAUCCAUUCAUUUGUCUGUUCAGUUGAUGUGUAUGGAUUUGUCCUGCAUUUAUUUUAGUGUGCAGACAUGCAGGGUGUGUUAUAUACAGACCUUUGAAUGUGUAUGUAUCAUUUUGUAUAAUAUGCUUGGAUUCUGUGCUUUCCAUCUUGUAGAGUCACUGUGACUUCAGUUUCGAAAGGAGCUGAUGGUUUACCUGUUUUGUCCUUAUUCAAUAAAGGAACAUAAUGUUACACAUUGUGUUUUUAUAUUCA